rnacentral:tRNA from 1 species
GGAUUGUAGCUCAGUGGUAGAGGGCUUGCCUGGCACGUGUGAGGCACUGGGUUCAAACCCCAGCACCA